UAAAUACAUAUCAAGAUUGACUGUUGAGCAGGCCAGGAGAAGACAUGUGACUUUAGGGUAACUCGAAGGAGAGCAGAGAGGAGCUAGGAAACCCUAAAGGAAGAGAUUGGGUUGUGUUUCCGGCAUUCGGUCUCCUCUACCGUUGACAAAAUAUGGGUGGCAGAUUAGGCAGUAGAGGAACAAAUGAAUGGGUGGCAAAGAAGCAACCUGUGUGAAUGGCAGGAGAUUUGUGAAUCUGCAGGAGUGUCCCAUUUUGCCUUGUGAAGAGACUUCUUUUUGCAGCGCGAGGCCUGCUUGAUCCUGCUAAAGAGAGAUGCUGAGAACUAAACCCUCCAUCUGCAGACCAAGCAGAAAUGGGUACCACUCGAUUCCUGUAGAUGCUUAAUAAAGACAGCUUUUAAAACA